UGGGGAAUAUUGCACAAUGGGGGAAACCCUGAUGCAGCAACGCCGCGUGAGUGAAGAAGUAUCUCGGUAUGUAAAGCUCUAUCAGCAGGAAAGAAAAUGACGGUACCUGACUAAGAAGCCCCGGCUAACUACGUGCCAGCAGCCGCGGUAAUACGUAGGGGGCAAGCGUUAUCCGGAUUUACUGGGUGUAAAGGGAGCGUAGACGGUUUUGCAAGUCAGAUGUGAAAGCCCGGGGCUCAACCCCGGGACUGCAUUUGAAACUGUGAAGCUGGAGUGUCGGAGAGGUAAGUGGAAUUCCUAGUGUAGCGGUGAAAUGCGUAGAUAUUAGGAAGAACACCAGUGGCGAAGGCGGCUUACUGGACGAUUACUGACGCUGAGGCUCGAAAGCGUGGGGAGCAAACAGGAUUAGAUACCCUGGUAGU
rnacentral:rRNA from 1 species